AGAGUUUGAUCCUGGCUCAGGAUGAACGCUAGCGGCAGGCCUAAUACAUGCAAGUCGUACGGGAGCGGGCCCUUUCGGGGGCCGUGAGAGUGGCGGACGGGUGCGCAACGCGUAUGCAACCCACCAUCCCGAGGCGGACAGCCGGUGGAAACGCCGGGUGAUCCGCCGUGCGGCCCCGUGGGGGCAUCCCCAUGGGGCGAUAGCCGAGAGGCGCGGGGUGACGGGCAUGCGUCCCAUUAGAUAGUAGGCGGGGUGACGGCCCACCUAGUCGACGAUGGUAGGGGAUCUGAGAGGACGGUCCCCCACACUGGCACUGAGACACGGGCCAGACUCCUGCGGGAGGCAGCAGUAGGGGAUAUUGGGCAAUGGGGGAACCCUGACCCAGCCAUGCCGCGUGAGGGAAGUAGGCCCUACGGGUCGUGAACCUCUUUUGCACGGGGACAACACCGCCGUCGGGAACGGCGGAUGAGGGUACCGUGGGAAUAAGCAUCGGCUAACUCCGUGCC
rnacentral:rRNA from 1 species